rnacentral:lncRNA from 1 species
CUGGAUACAUAUUCAUUAUCAGCCUCCUCCUGAUGAGAAUGAGCUAUCAUGACUUCUUCUUCUUCUUGCACAGCUGGCUGCUGAGAAAUGAAGGGCGAUGGAUCUUGUGAGUCUGUCCCUAGAUAGCCCUCAGACCGAUCAUCUGUAUCUAACUUUUCUUCAUUCGCUGAAAACUUCUUACUUUCUCCAUCAUCUUCAUUUUUUUUCUUUUUCUUCUUGUCUUUAAACUGCUUUAUUAAAGUGAUCAAAUGCUCCGCUAGAAACAUAAAAUACA